UACGUAGGGUCCGAGCGUUGUCCGGAAUUACUGGGCGUAAAGAGCUCGUAGGUGGUUUGUCGCGUUGUUCGUGAAAACUCACAGCUCGACUGUGGGCGUGCGGGCGAUACGGGCAGACUAGAGUACUGCAGGGGAGACUGGAAUUCCUGGUGUAGCGGUGGAAUGCGCAGAUAUCAGGAGGAACACCGGUGGCGAAGGCGGGUCUCUGGGCAGUAACUGACGCUGAGGAGCGAAAGCGUGGGGAGCGAACAGG
rnacentral:rRNA from 1 species